rnacentral:sRNA from 1 species
UUACACCAUGAAAGCUUUGAGAAGCAAGAAGAAGGUUGGUUAGUGUCUUGGAGUCAAAUAUGACUUGAUGUCAUGUGUAUGAUUGAGUAUAAGAACAUAAACCGCAACCGGAUCUUAAAGGCGUAAGAAUUGUAUCCUUGUUAGAAGACACAAAGCCAAAGACUCAUAUGGACUUUGGCUACACCAUGAAAGCUUGGAGAAGAAAGAAGAAGGUUGGUUAGUGUUUUGGAGUCGAAUAUGACUUGGUAUCAUAUGUAUGAUUGAGUAUAAAAACUUAAACCGCAACCGGAUCUUAAAGGCGUAAGAAUUGUAUCCUUGUUAGAAGACACAAAGCCAAAGACUCAUAUGGACUUUGGCUACACCAUGAAAGCUUUGAGAAGCAAGAGGAAGGGUGGUUAGUGUUUUGGAGUCGAAUAUGACUUGAUGUCAUGUGUAUGAUUGAGUAUAAGAACUUAUACCGCAAGCGGAUCUUAAAGGCGUAAUAUUUGUAUCCUUGUUAGAAGACACAAAGCCAAAGACUCAUAUGGACUUUGGCUACACCAUGAAAGCUUUGAGAAGCAAUAAAAAGGUUGGUUAGUGUUAGUCGAGUAUGACUUGAUGUCAUGUGUAUGAUUGAGUAUAAGAACUUAAACCGCAACCGGAUCUUAAAGGUGUAAGAAUUGUAUCCAUGUUAGAAGACACAAAGCCAAAGACUCAUAUGGACUUUGGCUACACCAUGAAAGCUUUGAGAAGCAAGAAGAAGGUUGGUUAGUGUUUUGGAGUCGAAUAUGACUUGAUGUCAUGUAUAUGAUUGAGUAUAAGAACAUUAACCGCAACCGGAUCUUAAAGGCGUAAGAAUUGUAUCCUUGUUAGAAGACACAAAGCCAAAGACUCAUAUGGACUUUGGAUACACCAUGAAAGCUUUGAGAAGAAAUAAAAAGGUUGGUUACUGUGAGUCGAAUAUGACUUGAUGUCAUGUGUAUGAUUGAGUAUAAGAACUUAAACCGCAACCGGAUCUUAAAGGCGUAAGAAUUGUAUCCUUGUUAGAAGACACAAAGCCAAAGACUCAUAUGGACUUUGGCUACACCAUGAAAGAUUUGAGAAGCAAGAAAAAGUUUGGUUAGUGUUAGUCGAAUAUGACUUGAUGUCAUGUGUAUGAUUGAGUAUAAGAACUUAAACCGCAACCGGAUCUUAAAGGCGUAAGAAUUGUAUCCUUCUUAGAAGACACAAAGCCAAAGACUCAUCUGGACUUUGGCUACACCAUGAAAGCUUUGAGAAGCAAGAAGAAGGGUGGUUAGUGUUUUGGAGUCGAAUAAGACUUGA